rnacentral:rRNA from 1 species
GUGAGGAAUCUUGCACAAUGGGCGAAAGCCUGAUGCAGCGACGCCGCGUGGAUGAGGAAGGCCUUCGGGUCGUAAAAUCCUUUUCUGUGUGACGAGAAGAAGGACGGUAGCACAGGAAUAAGUCUCGGCUAACUACGUGCCAGCAGCCGCGGUAAAACGUAGGAGGCGAGCGUUAAUCGGAAUUACUGGGCGUAAAGCGUGCGUAGGCUGUUUGGUCAGUCGGGUGUGAAAGCCCUAGGCUUAACCUAGGAAUUGCAUUCGAUACUGCCAAGCUAGAGUCUGGGAGAGGGAAGCGGAAUUCCGGGUGUAGCGGUGAAAUGCGUAGAUAUCCGGAGGAACAUCAGUGGCGAAGGCGGCUUCCUGGCCUAAGUCUGACGCUGAGGCACGAAAGCGUGGGGAGCAAACAGGAUUAGAAACCCUAGUAGUCC